rnacentral:rRNA from 1 species
UACGAAGGGGGCUAGCGUUGUUCGGAAUUACUGGGCGUAAAGCGCGCGCAGGCGGUCUUCCAAGUCAGUGGUGAAAGCCCGGAGCUCAACUCCGGAACUGCCAUUGAAACUGUUGGACUUGAGGAUGAGAGAGGUGAGUGGAAUUCCCAGUGUAGAGGUGAAAUUCGUAGAUAUUGGGAAGAACACCUGUGGCGAAAGCGGCUCACUGGACCAUAACUGACGCUGAUGCACGAAAGCUGGGGGAGCAAACAGG